rnacentral:rRNA from 1 species
AAUCUGCCUGGUAGUGGGGGAUAACGUUCGGAAACGGACGCUAAUACCGCAUACGUCCUACGGGAGAAAGCAGGGGACCUUCGGGCCUUGCGCUAUCAGAUGAGCCUAGGUCGGAUUAGCUAGUUGGUGAGGUAAUGGCUCACCAAGGCGACGAUCCGUAACUGGUCUGAGAGGAUGAUCAGUCACACUGGAACUGAGACACGGUCCAGACUCCUACGGGAGGCAGCAGUGGGGAAUAUUGGACAAUGGGCGAAAGCCUGAUCCAGCCAUGCCGCGUGUGUGAAGAAGGUCUUCGGAUUGUAAAGCACUUUAAGUUGGGAGGAAGGGUUGUAGAUUAAUACUCUGCAAUUUUGACGUUACCGACAGAAUAAGCACCGGCUAACUCUGUGCCAGCAGCCGCGGUAAUACAGAGGGUGCAAGCGUUAAUCGGAAUUACUGGGCGUAAAGCGCGCGUAGGUGGUUUGUUAAGUUGGAUGUGAAAUCCCCGGGCUCAACCUGGGAACUGCAUUCAAAACUGACUGACUAGAGUAUG